CACUGUGUCACCAGAGAAGUCCCUGUACACAUUUCGGAGACCUAUAGUGCUCCACAGGCUGGGCCAAUACCCUCAGCAGGAAUCCUGGUUCUUUUCUGGUGAAUGUAGAAAGCAAAACUUGAGAGCUGUUUGUGGACAAAAAUAAAACAAAGGUAAUUCUGAAUGUCAUGAAAGUGAAAAAAGAGAAGUGACGUUUCUGCUGACAAAAUGGCAAAGUGUAAGUUAAACCUAAAAAAAGCAUCAACCAAAGAAUAGAAGGAAUCAUCGUAUUUGAAGGAUGUUAAGCAGCCACAAAGACAGAGCCAAGUGAGUCCAAAAAAUGUCCAUGUUGUCCUGCCCUGAAAUGGGCUCCCAAAGUGGUGAAGGAAGAUAGAAAGACAAAGGACAAAAAUUAUUUAACAUGUAAAUUAGAGAGCUCUCUCCUCGGUCAAUUGGUUAUGAAGUCUGUAACCUAAAGCAGAGAUUUGAGAGAUCUAGGCUAAAUUGAAGCCCUUCCCUGCUACCUGAGCAAUUCACACACACACACACACACACACACACACGCAUGCACACUUCCUGGUUAACUUUGCCAAUUACAAUAUUGGAUUACCUUAAUAGUUCUCAAUUCUACCCAAAUAGACAUACCCCAGGCUGUCAGUUGGCAACAAUUGUAUUCUCUGAAAUUCCUUUAUGUAUGUCUGUGUUCACUCUUACUACUGAGUCAAUGUGGAAGGGAUGCAAGUGCAGUCAUUAUUCAAAGGGAUAUUGAGAAUUUUCUCCCAACUUUAAAGUCAAGCAACAUGAUCUCAUACUGGGAAUGCAUUUGAAAAACUGACAACAUACUCUUAAGAAAGAGUUAAUGCACCUUCAAACAGGAGCUAUUUCCUCUGAGUCCCCUUGCAUUUCCACACCCAGAAUGGCAGGCUCUAAGCCUCCAAGAGUCCUACAGUAUGUAAAGCAAAUAAUGAUUCAGGAGCCUUGGCCAGCUGAGCAGCCUGGGGGCAAGGAACACAUUCUGACCCUUCUCUCCACACAGCUGCCUUAGCCCAAAGACAUGUCCUGCCGGAAGCUGGGAGUAUUUUCCCCCCCUAAGAUGCAAAGCUAAGGAAGCAGGCUUAGCCAAGUUAUUGGUGUCAGUUCUUUCCAGGAAAGAUCCUCUUUUAGCUCUGAAGAAAAUGCUAGUGGAAGAAGACAGACUUCUGCCUAGAACAGAAAGAAUCCUGCUCUGCAGACUUGGUCAGUGUCCUAGUCCAUCUUGGCCAGUAAGUGGCACUCUUCCUCCAUAAGUGUUUUAACAGCCUCCAGAGUAAAAUGGAUCCUGCUUUCCAGUUCAUUUUUGCUACAGCUACUGUUACAAUAUUGUAACAAGGACAUGCCCUCAUUCCCAAAAAUAUUCAUCAUUAGAAAAACAAUAACCUCUUAUAUAGGAGUUUCUGAAAAGUCCAGAACUUUCACUCAACUUUUGCUUUUAAUUUGUGGCUUUGUACUCUUAAGGGGAAGUUGGUGGCCAGAACCACAAAGGAACAGGAAACAGCUGUAUGAAUGGCUGGUGCAGGUGAAGGAGGAGUGAAUGAGGGGAGCAUACUGCGAAUUUCUACAUUGGAGAGGAAGUACAGGCAUACUUUGCUUUAUCGCACUUCACAGAUAAUUGCACUUUUUACUAAUUGACGGUUUAUGACAACCCUACGUCAAGCAAGUCUAUUGGUGCCAUUUUCUAACAGCUUUUGCAUACUCCAUGUCUCUGUGUCACAUCACCUUAAUUUUCAGGAUUGUUCAAACCUUCACCGGCAAAAAAAUUCUGACUUGCUGAAGGCCCAGAUGACCAUUAGUAGUUUAUAGCAAUAAAGUAUUUUUUAAAUUAACGUAUGUAUGUAUGUGUGGUCAGGCCACUCAAGAUGGCUGCUCUCUUGCUCUCUGUACAUCCCCUGCCCCACCAGUGCCUGCUUCUUCACCUACACCCUAUGCACAUGACUGACCUUCUUAUGUACUUGCACCAGGCCCCAGCUAGUUAGUUAUCUUAUCAAAGGGGCGGUGAGGGGCGUGCCCCUCUACUGGUUUCCCUGGUAACUAAUGAGCCCACCUGAUGUCAAUUCCCCUAGAACUGGCAGUCUCCCCUUUGUUAGGGGAACCACUGACCAAAACUGCCCACCCUGGCCAGGCAAGAUAGUAGCCACUUGCAUGAGUUAUCUUACAACAGCAGGUCCUGGUAAGGAA